rnacentral:misc_RNA from 1 species
AAGUCGUAACAAGGUUUCCGUAGGUGAACCUGCGGAAGGAUCAUUAACACGUAUCCACGUAUCAACCCCUUUGUGCUUUUUUACGUUUUGACGUACCCUGUCUUGAAGGUGAACCCUGAGGUCCCGUGAGAAAUCUGAAUGGUGUCGGAGUGCUUCGGCGCUUCGGCUGUUUUCACGGAACUGUUGCAGCCCUUUAUUGGGAGGCAUCGGGCUCCCUUCUACUGUACAGGCCUUUUUGAUGCUUUUGCCAUUCACGUCGCCCUUUAAAACUAUAAACCCUUUGAAAACAUCUUGCUAACUUUAAUUUGAAUUACGAAAGGCUCACGCCUUUUGCUUUCAAUAUUACGAAAUGCUUGACAACUCUUAGCAACGGAUAUCUUGGUUCUC